UCCUUCUCUUUCGUCGUUAACAGUUUUGGCUAACACACACACAUUAAUGUAUGUCUAGUACUUUGAGGUUAAAGGUAUGCAUUCUAGCAGAAACUACCACUAAUAUCUCUUGUACAAUUUUAAAUAGUGAUAAUGUCACUCUGUUACAUCAUUAUUUCAUGUGUAAUCAUCUAAUAUUUAGACACACUAUCAGAGGUAAACAUACACAUUAACUUGAUGGCCUGAACCUUGAAUUCUGCAAUCUAGAUUCCUUGACCUUUAUUUUAAUAAAUUCUAAUGUCAACCACACAAAAAUAAAACUGGAUCCAGAGGAAACUACUUAUAGACCUUUAAAACUGAAAGUUUCUUUGCUCAAUUUGUUACACAUUCACCACACGAUACAACCAAACAAAAUACUUAUUUGCCUCUCCUGGACUCUUGUUAUGGAUUACACACGAUCUUUAGGCUCAAAGAAAUUGAUUGGUCAUGGCUGUGUCCGUCAAGUUAGAGCUACAAUAUUACAAAAUGGAGUUAAGUUUUAUUACCCGGUAUUUUUUUUAAAAGUGCUAUGCUUUUAUUACUUGGUUGUGUUGAAAUUGAGAUCCACCAAAAGAAGUGUUGGUGUCUAUGCUGCAGCCCAACGUCUGACUGUAUGACUUAAUUUUCAACCAGCACUAAUUGAAGAUUUCUUUCCUAUCCUUUGGUGGGCAUAGUGGCUGAGGGGUAAAGUUAUUGGUUCUGAACCUAGCGGUCUUGGGUUCAAAUCUUAAUGAAGAAUGGGAUUUUUAGGACGCCCUCGUGUACACCCAACUCUAAUGGGUACCUUACUUUAGCUGGGAAAGGGUUAAGGGUGAAUGAUUGUUGUACUGGCCACAUGAUACCCUCCUUGACCGUCGGUCACAGAAGUAGAUUAUAUUUACAAUAUCUGCAAUAUAUAUCACAAAGGGAUACUUUGCUUUUACUUUUUUUCUAUAUUUUUACAAUUUUAAAGCAGAUACAAGCCUCGAAGACUUAUAGAAGCACUCUUUGAAUCUUUCAAAUGCUAUUUAACGAAACAGUCCCAAUGUUUUACUUUAUAUGAGACGUUCAUUUUUGUUAAGAAACGUAAGCGUCGUUCAUUUCACCAAAAGUCUCUAACAGCAAUUGAACUAGUUCAACUCUGAGUAAAAUAUCAAGAGCUUUACAGGAAGUCUUCAGUGCUGUGCACUUGUGCACUUGCUUGUGUGUGUCAAGUUUUCGAGACCACCUCCGAGUUGUGUAGUAAGAAUAAAAUUCUAUGAUGAGCCAUAACGUCAUUUUUUUUUAUUUCUCUCCCGAUUCUACCCCGACGUUUGUCUGGUGUUGAAUAUUGUAUACAAUUUUUCCGCAUCCAGUAUUGUUGACAGUGUUCCUGUGUCCAGUAUUGUUGACAGUGUUCCUGUGUCCAGUAUUGUUGACAGUGUUCC